UACGGAGGAUCCGAGCGUUAUCCGGAUUUAUUGGGUUUAAAGGGUGCGCAGGCGGCAUGUUAAGUCGGCGGUGAAAUUUUGCAGCUCAACUGUAAAAGAGCCUUCGAAACUGGCAAGCUUGAGUGUGGAUGAAGUAGGCGGAAUUCCCGGUGUAGCGGUGAAAUGCGUAGAUAUCGGGAGGAAGGCCGGUGGCGAAGGCGGCCUCCUGGGCCUGCACUGACGCUGAGGCGCGAAAGCGUGGGGAGCAAACAGG
rnacentral:rRNA from 1 species